GUUUCAAAUAGAGCUUCUACGUUUGCCGGUCGUUAUGCGUUGGUUUGUAUUUGUUAAAGAUGGAUUCCAGUUCAGGUGACGUGAUCCGGUCACUGCAAGACUCCAUUGCGCGCUUGCCAGCACACCGGAUACAGGAAGACUUACAGAGCCACUUGCAGACAAUUGUCCUGGGUGAUGGGAGCCAUCAAGAUUCCAAAGCACCGUUAAUGGCCCACACUUUGCAUAAUUACAAUAGGCCUGAGCGUUAUAGUUCAGAUGGCUAGUUCCAGACCCAAGAGUGAGUGAAGUAAACCAGCCUGCUGAAUCCAUGAGCCCCCAGCAAACCCUACAGAAAAGCACCAUCAGGGGAACCACCCACCUGCUGAGCUCGAGCUUUACCAGUCUGGCACAACGAGUCACAGGCUGCAUCAACAGCGCUACGGGGUGCAGGCGACUGACACAGUAACCACAGGCCUUUGACUCCAGGAGCCACCACCAAGAGUCUCAGCCAGAGCAUCCCCAGUGCCCCCCGAGGGGUCUCACUCUCCCAUUGACGACUGCAUGUGGGGCUGCUCCCGGCCGCGCACUCCCCUUGCUAGCCCAGGACAGACAGCGCCCGCCCCUCCCCCCCGGUGCUCUCCGGGGCUCCCCCACAGUGGUGGGGCCAACCAAGCUCCAUCCCCAAGCCCUGUUACGAGUAGGCCUGGAGACGCAGGGCCCUGGAGCCUGCUUGGCGCUCAAGGUAGGGGACAAUCUAAGGGCAUCUUGCCAAGCUGGGGCCCGAGGGAGCCAGGGACCGGGAGCCAGGCCCUGGUGGCUCAGGCUCUGGCCCCACCCGUCUGAGGCUGGGGAGCUCUCGGCCCCAGGAGGAGCCCACCUGCCCUGCCCUGCCCUGCCCUGCGGAGGUGUGGCACGGCCAGCGUGCAGGAAGGGGGCAGGAGGGCGAGGGACCCGCAGGCUGCAGCUUGGCUCCUUGGCCAGCGGGACGAUGCCAGCCUCCCGGCCAGUUACCUGGGGAUGGGAAAGCCCGGCCUGAGAGACCCUGCCACGAGCGCGCCGGAGCCUGGCAGCAAGCGGGCCUCCCGCUGCGCCGCAGGGCAAACCGGGCCAGCUGGAGCCACGGGCCACCACCCAGCAGCCCCCUCACCAGGGCAGAGCCUGUCUGCCAUGGGAGUGAGCGGCCCAGAGCAUGCUGGGUAAGUGACCCUCACUCCAGCACCGCCCCCCACCAGGGGCAAACCCCUAGGGGGACCAGACGCCCCGAUUUUAUAGGGACAGGCCCGAUUUCGGGGGCUUUUUCUUAUAUCGGCUCCUAUU